rnacentral:rRNA from 1 species
UGGGGAAUAUUGGACAAUGGGCGCAAGCCUGAUCCAGCCAUGCCGCGUGAGUGAUGAAGGCCUUAGGGUUGCAAAGCUCUUUCGCGCGCGACGAUACUGACGGUAGCGCGAGAAGAAGCCCCGGCUAACUUCGUGCCAGCAGCCGCGGUAAUACGAAGGGGGCUAGCGUUGUUCGGAAUCACUGGGCGUAAAGCGCAUGCAGGCGGAUCGUUUAGUCGGGGGUGAAAUCCCGAGGCUCAACCUCGGAACUGCCUCCGAUACUGGCGAUCUUGAGUCCGGGAGAGGUGAGUGGAACUGCGAGUGUAGAGGUGAAAUUCGUAGAUAUUCGCAAGAACACCAGUGGCGAAGGCGGCUCACUGGCCUGGUACUGACGCUCAGGUGCGAAAGCGUGGGGAGCAAACA